rnacentral:rRNA from 1 species
AGCGAACGCUGGCGGCAGGCCUAACACAUGCAAGUCGAGCGGGCACCGCAAGGUGUCAGCGGCAGACGGGAGAGUAACACGUGGGAACGUGCCCUUCGGUUCGGAAUAACUCGGGGAAACUCGUGCUAAUACCGAAUACGCCCUUACGGGGAAAGAUUUAUCGCCGAUGGAGCGGCCCGCGUCUGAUUAGCUGGUUGGUGAGGUAAUGGCUCACCAAGGCGACGAUCAGUAGCUGGUCUGAGAGGAUGAUCAGCCUCACUGGGACUGAGACACGGCCCAGACUCCUACGGGAGGCAGCAGUGGGGAAUAUUGGACAAUGGGCGCAAGCCUGAUCCAGCCAUGCCGCGUGGAUGAUGAAGGCCUUAGGGUUGUAAAGUCCUUUUAACGGGGAAGAUAAUGACAGUACCCGUAGAAUAAGCCCCGGCUAACUUCGUGCCAGCAGCCGCGGUAA